CAAUAGCGUAUAUUAAAGUUGUUGCAGUUAAAAAGCUCGUAGUUGGAUUUCUGGUCGGAAGCUCCUGUCCUCUGAUGAGCGUACAAGUGCGUCCUACCAUCCUUCUGUUAACCUUUAAGGCUUUCGCGGCUUUCUAGGGGCUCAGAUAUUUUACCUUGAGAAAAUUAGAGUGUUUCAGGCAGGCUAGCGCCGGAAUACAUUAGCAUGGAAUAAUAGAAUAGGACUAUGGUCUCUUUGUUGGUUUGAGGGACUAUGGUAAUGAUUAAUAGGGAUAGUUGGGGGCAUUAGUAUUUAAUUGUCAGAGGUGGAAUUCUCAGAUUUGUUAAAGACUAACUUAUGCGAAAGCAUUUGCCAAGGAUGUUUUCAUUAA
rnacentral:rRNA from 1 species